rnacentral:rRNA from 1 species
CCUACGGGUGGCAGCAGUGAGGAAUAUUGCGCAAUGGGGGAAACCCUGACGCAGCAACGCCGCGUGGGUGAAGAAGGCCUUCGGGUCGUAAAGCCCUUUCGGACGGGACGAACGCUUCGCGGGGACAAACCGCGAAGAUUGACGGUACCGUAAGAAGAAGCACCGGCUAACUCCGUGCCAGCAGCCGCGGUAAUACGGAGGGUGCAAGCGUUGUUCGGAAUUACUGGGCGUAAAGCGCGUGUAGGCGGCCUUGUAAGUCAGAUGUGAAAGCCCUCGGCUUAACCGGGGAAGUGCGUCUGAAACUGCUUGGCUUGAGUACGGGAGAGGGAGGCGGAAUUCCCAGUGUAGAGGUGAAAUUCGUAGAUAUUGGGAGGAACACCGGUGGCGAAGGCGGCUUCCUGGACCGAUACUGACGCUGAGACGCGAAAGCGUGGGGAGCAAACAGGAUUAGAUACCCUUGUAGUC